rnacentral:snRNA from 1 species
AGCUUUGCGCAGUGCAGUAUCGUAUCCAAUGGGGUUUAUCCAAGGCAUGAUUAUUGCUAAUUGAAAACUUUUCCCAAUACCCCACCGUGACAAUUUGCAAUAUAGUCGGCACUGGCAAUUUUUGACUGUCUCUAUGGAGA